GCAUCCACCGGGUCGAUCGCGCGACGCACCACCAGGUAGUCGCGCAACACGAUGGCGUGCCGGUUGUC
rnacentral:sRNA from 1 species